rnacentral:rRNA from 1 species
CGAUGCCUACGGGGCGCAGCAGUGGGGAAUAUUGCACAGUGGGGGAAACCCUGAUGCAGCGACGCCGCGUGGAGGAAGAAGGUCUUCGGAUUGUAAACUCCUGUCCUUGGGGACGAUAAUGACGCUACCCAAGGAGGAAGCACCGGCUAACUACGUGCCAGCAGCCGCGGUAAAACGUAGGGUGCAAGCGUUGUCCGGAAUUACUGGGUGUAAAGGGAGCGCAGGCGGAUCGACAAGUUGGGAGUGAAAACUACGGGCUCAACCCGUAACCUGCUUUCAAAACUGUCGGUCUUGAGUGGUGUAGG